AACGAACGCUGGCGGCAGGCUUAACACAUGCAAGUCGAACGCCCCUUACGGGGAGUGGCAGAUGGGUGAGUAACGCGUGGGAAUCUACCGUGCCCUGCGGAAUAGCUCCGGGAAACUGGAAUUAAUACCGCAUACGCCCUACGGGGGAAAGAUUUAUCGGGGUAUGAUGAGCCCGCGUUGGAUUAGCUAGUUGGUGGGGUAAAGGCCUACCAAGGCGACGAUCCAUAGCUGGUCUGAGAGGAUGAUCAGCCACAUUGGGACUGAGACACGGCCCAAACUCCUACGGGAGGCAGCAGUGGGGAAUAUUGGACAAUGGGCGCAAGCCUGAUCCAGCCAUGCCGCGUGAGUGAUGAAGGCCUUAGGGUUGUAAAGCUCUUUCACCGAUGAAGAUAAUGACGGUAGUCGGAGAAGAAGCCCCGGCUAACUUCGUGCCAGCAGCCGCCGUAAUAC
rnacentral:rRNA from 1 species